GUAAAAUUAGUUUAUUUGAAAAUACUAGGUUGUGGGCUUAGAGAAAAAUUGUGUUUAUUUUACU
rnacentral:tRNA from 1 species